UGUUAGCACACUAACUAGCCUAGCUGCUCCUCCCUGCUGCUCUAGGCAGGUUCACAGUGUUAGCACACUAACUAGCCUAGCUUCCCUCCCUGCUGCUCUAGGCAGGUUCACAGUGUUAGCACACUAACUAGCCUAGCUUCCCUCCCUGCUGCUCUAGGCAGGUUCACAGUGUUAGCACACUAACUAGCCUAGCUGCUCCUCCCUGCUGCUCUAGGCAGGUUCACAGUGUUAGCACACUAACUAGCCUAGCUGCUCUAGGCAGGUUCACAGUGUUAGCACACUAACUAGCCUAGCUGCCCCUCCCUGCUUCUCUAGGCAGGUUCACAGUGUCCUUUCCUUAAAACAAAGACACACUUUGGCCCAGAAACCGGAUACACUCCCACUUCUCCUCCUUCUCUCUCUGCCUUUCUCCUUCUCUCAAUCUCCACCUCACACUUUCUUUCUCCCCUUCUCCCUCCUCACCCCGUCACUCUUUCCCUAUUUCUUUUUCUGCUUCUCUUUCUCC
ensembl:lncRNA